GUAAAGCGCUCGCAGGCGGUCUUUUAAGUCUGAUGUGAAAGCCCACGGCUUAACCGUGGAGGGUCAUUGGAAACUGGAGGACUUGAGUACAGAAGAGGAGAGUGGAAUUCCACGUGUAGCGGUGAAAUGCGUAGAGAUGUGGAGGAACACCAGUGGCGGAGGCGACUCUCUGGUCUGUAACUGACGCUGAGGAGCGAAAGCGUGGGGAGCGAACAGGAUUAGAUACCCUGGUAGUCCACGCCGUAAACGAUGAGUGCUAGGUGUUAGGGGGUUUCCGCCCCUUAGUGCUGAAGUUAACGCAUUAAGCACUCCGCCUGGGGAGUACGGCCGCAAGGCUGAAACUCAAAAGAAUUGACGGGGGCCCGCACAAGCGGUGGAGCAUGUGGUUUAAUUCGAAGCAACGCGAAGAACCUUACCAGGUCUUGACAUCCUCUGACACUCCUAGAGAUAGGAUUUUCCCUUCGGGGACAGAGUGACAGGUGGUGCAUGGUUGUCGUCAGCUCGUGUCGUGAGAUGUUGGGUUAAGUCCCGCAACGAGCGCAACCCUUGAUCUUAGUUGCCAGCAUUUAGUUGGGCACUCUAGGAUGACUGCCGGUGACAAACCGGAGGAAGGUGGGGAUGACGUCAAAUCAUCAUGCCCCUUAUGACCUGGGCUACACACGUGCUACAAUGGUUGGUACAAAGGGAAGCAAUACCGCGAGGUCAAGCAAAUCCCAUAAAACCAUUCUCAGUUCGGAUUGCAGGCUGCAACUCGCCUGCAUGAAGCCGGAAUCGCUAGUAA
rnacentral:rRNA from 1 species